AACGAACGCUGGCGGCAGGCUUAACACAUGCAAGUCGAGCGCCCCGCAAGGGGAGCGGCAGACGGGUGAGUAACGCGUGGGAAUCUACCCAUCCCUACGGAACAACUCCGGGAAACUGGAGCUAAUACCGUAUACGCCCUUCGGGGGAAAGAUUUAUCGGGGAUGGAUGAGCCCGCGUUGGAUUAGCUAGUUGGUGGGGUAAUGGCCUACCAAGGCGACGAUCCAUAGCUGGUCUGAGAGGAUGAUCAGCCACAUUGGGACUGAGACACGGCCCAAACUCCUACGGGAGGCAGCAGUGGGGAAUAUUGGACAAUGGGCGAAAGCCUGAUCCAGCCAUGCCGCGUGAGUGAUGAGGGCCCUAGGGUUGUAAAGCUCUUUCACCGAUGAAGAUAAUGACGGUAGUCGGAGAAGAAGCCCCGGCUAACUUCGUGCCAGCAGCCGCGGUAAUAC
rnacentral:rRNA from 1 species